UACGUAGGGUGCAAGCGUUGUCCGGAAUUAUUGGGCGUAAAGAGCUCGUAGGCGGUCUGUCGCGUCUGCUGUGAAAACUCAGGGCUUAACCCUGAGCUUGCAGUGGGUACGGGCAGACUAGAGUGCGGUAGGGGAGACUGGAAUUCCUGGUGUAGCGGUGAAAUGCGCAGAUAUCAGGAGGAACACCGGUGGCGAAGGCGGGUCUCUGGGCCGAUACUGAC
rnacentral:rRNA from 1 species